rnacentral:rRNA from 1 species
UAUUGGACAAUGGGCGAAAGCCUGAUCCAGCCAUGCCGCGUGAGUGAUGAAGGCCCUAGGGUUGUAAAGCUCUUUUGUCCGGGAAGAUAAUGACUGUACCGGAAGAAUAAGCCCCGGCUAACUUCGUGCCAGCAGCCGCGGUAAUACGAAGGGGGCUAGCGUUGCUCGGAAUCACUGGGCGUAAAGGGUGCGUAGGUGGAUUUUUAAGUCAGAGGUGAAAUCCUGGAGCUCAACUCCAGAACUGCCUUUGAUACUGAGAGUCUUGAGUUCGGGAGAGGUGAGUGGAACUGCGAGUGUAGAGGUGAAAUUCGUAGAUAUUCGCAAGAACACCAGUGGCGAAGGCGGCUCACUGGCCCGAUACUACACUGAGCACGAAA